rnacentral:lncRNA from 1 species
GUUGUUUUUUUGAAACAGAGUUUCUCUGUGUAAUCCUGGCUAUCCUGGAACUCUCUAUAUUCACCAGGCUAGCCUCCAGCCCAGAGAUCUGCCUGCCCCUGCCUCUGUCUCCCAACUACUGGAACUAAAGGUGUAUGUUACCACUGCCUGGCAAGAUACGGGUGUUUUAAAUGGAAAAGAGCUGUGCAUUUACAAUGAAUUAUGAGCUGGGGAUAUAGCUCAGUUGGUAGAGUGCUCACCCAGCAUAUACAAAGACCUAAGUUCCAUCCUCAGCACCCCAUUAACUGAUUUGAUGAAGCAAGCCUGUAAUCCCAGCCCUCAGGAGGGGGAAGUGGGAGAAUCAGGAGUUCAAGGUCACCCUCAGCUCCACAGCAUAGUCACAGCUAGUCUGAACUACCUGAGACCCUGUCUCAAAAAAAGAAAAGAAAAGAAAAAAAAAAGAGGCAAUUUCUUUCCUCUGAUAUUGAAGUGAAGAACACACAACAAUAUCAUCAAGAUGAGCAUCUUCUCAGCCCAAUGACAUCACUCUAAUCCUGCAUCCCAAGCUCAGCUCGCUGCAGAACAGCCACUCAGGCCCCCCCCCCAUCAGCUCACCCACUGAAGAGUCCCUGAAUUGUCUCUAGUCUUUAACAGCUACUUACUCUAAGCACUUGUAUACAGAUCUCUGUGGAUUUAACUUUUUUCCCUAGGAAGAGGCUUCUGGGCCUCAUAUUUAUAGGUGUUUAUAAGGAACUAUCCAAUGGUUUUCAGAAUGACAGUCAUUCUGUCUGGAUAUUGUUUGUCAUUGCUCUGAGUGCUGGGGGACUGAAACCAGAGUCCAGCCCUUUAGGCAAAUGAUCCUACCACUGAACUCCACUCCCAGCCUUGACUGGCACUUUUCACAAGACCAGAACGUGUAAGCAUUCCCUCCCUUCUGUAUCUGGGUUAGUGCUUGUUUGAAUUGUCAGUUCAGAACAUGCAGGGAAUUGGACCUAGGACCUCAUAUAGGCUAAGCAUGCGUAAUUGAACCGUGCCCCAGCCCCAAGAUAUUUUUUGAAGAUUUGUUUGUUUGUUUGUUUGUUUAUUAUAUGUGAGUGCACUGUAGCUGUCUUCAGACACUCCAGAAGAGGGCAUCAGAUUUUUGUAAUGGAUGGUUGUGAGCCACCAUGUGGUUGCUGGGAUUUGAAUUCAGGACCUUUGGAAGAGCAGUCAGUGCUCUUAACCUCUGAGCCAUCUCACCAGCCCUGCCCCAAGAUAUUUUUAAUCUAACCAUUCUGAUAGGUGUUUAGUGGUAUUUGAUUAUGUUUUAAUUUGCAUUUUACAGCUAGUGAUAAUUGGUUAUGAGUACCACGUAUACUUUUAUGCAUCUUUAAUUGUUUUUUUUUUUAUUAAUUAUUAGUAGCGUGUGUGGGAGAGCAAAAGUGUGCCUGCCGAGGUCAGGAGCCAGUUCUCUCCUUCACCUUCUUGAGGUAGUCUCUUUGGCUGUUUUGACUGCUCUUAGGCCCUCAGGCUAGCUGCCCCAUGUCAAUUCUCCUGAUUCUGUCUCCCACCUUACCUUAGUAGUGCCAGGAUUACAAAUGUAUGUCACCACAUCCAGCUUGCGUGGGCAAGUGCUUGCCCCGCUGAGCCACCGAGCUGGCCUUUCUUUACGAUGUUUAGUUGGCAUUUGCAUGUCUUCUUUGGUGGAGGUAUUCAGAUCUUGAGGGUGGGGGGGUGGCAUGGUUUUUGCAGUUUUCCUGACUGGUCUUGUAGUGAUGGCAAUCCUCUUGCCUCUACCUCCCCAAGCUGGGUGUGUGCCACCAUGCCCAGUCUGUGCAAAUCUUUUAUUAUUACUUCUUUAUCUGAGUUCAACAGCUUCUAGCCAGUCUCCUCUUGAUUAUCCUCUGAGCAGAAAGCCUGGCUUCUGUCUUCCUAUGCUUCUUGUGACUUCCAUGUGUUUCUCAAUGGCUUAAACAUACACACACACACACACACACACACACACACACACCACAUAAUAGGGCAGGGGGACAAAAUAAGCACCAGCUAUUUUUCCCCAGGCCAGGCUUGGUGGGUGCACAACCUGUUCACCCUCACAGGGCCAAUCUUUAAAAGCAUCACACCCCCCACAUUCUACCCACGCCAUCUCAGAAUUCUUAAUUUUUGCCCAAGGGCACUACAUCCUGACUUUGCACAAGGCACCAUAAGUUGUGAAGUCAAUCCUGAAUCCCACUCACUCUUUUUUUUUUUUUUUGGUUUUUCGAGACAGGGUUUCUCUGUAUAGCCCUGGCUGUCCUGGAACUCACUCUGUAGACCAGGCUGGCCUCGAACUCAGAAAUCCACCUGCCUCUGCCUUCCCAGUGCUGGGAUUAAAGGCGUGCGCCACCACGCCCGGCUAAUCCCACUCACCCUUGGGGUUCCCCAGAGUUCCCUUUCCCAGUUGGUUCUCAGCUACUUCAGAUGUGGGUAAAAUCUCUGUGUCACUAGUACACCAGACUGUGGCUCUGUGGCUGGGACCUGCCUUUGGGGAUGUGGCCUGGCAGAGACAGAGAAACAGGAAAGUGGGGUUCCUGCAACACUAUCUGUCCUUCAAGGGUUCCUCUUCACGUCCCCCGC